rnacentral:rRNA from 1 species
UACGUAGGGCGCAAGCGUUGUCCGGAAUUAUUGGGCGUAAAGAGCUCGUAGGCGGCUUGUCGCGUCGGAUGUGAAAGCCCGGGGCUUAACUCCGGGUCUGCAUUCGAUACGGGCAGGCUAGAGUUCGGUAGGGGAGAUCGGAAUUCCCGGUGUAGCGGUGGAAUGCGUAGAGAUCGGGAAGAACACCAGUGGCGAAGGCGGGCUGCUGGGCCGUUGCUGACGCUGAGGCGCGAAAGCGUGGGGAGCAAACAGG